GGGACAUAGCUCAGGGGUGGAGCACUUGCCUGGUAUGUAUGAGGACCUGGGUUCCAUCCCAGUGCCACCA
rnacentral:tRNA from 1 species